rnacentral:rRNA from 1 species
CCUACGGGAGGCAGCAGUGGGGAAUAUUGGGCAAUGGUCGCAAGUCUGACCCAGCCACGCCGCGUGAAGGAAGAAGGCUUUCGGGUUGUUAAAUUCUUUUUAGGGGGAAGAGCAGACGACGGUACCCCUUGACUAAGCCAUGGCUAAAGACGUGCCAGCAGCCGCGGUAAUACGUAGGUCGCAGGCGUUGUUCGGGUUUCCUGGGUGUAACGGGCGUGCAGCCGGGAAGGGAAGUCAGAUGUGAAUUCCCGCGGCUCAACCGCGGAACUGCAGUUGAAACUGGUUUUCUUGAGUAGCGGAGAGGUAAUCGGAAUGCCUAGUGUAGCGGUGAAAUGCGUAGAUAUAAGGAAGAACACCAGUUGCGAAGGCAGAAUGCUGGACGACAACUGACGGUGAGGCGCGAAAGCGUGGGGAGCAAACAGGAUUAGAUACCCUUGUAGUC